AAGAGAUGAAUUCUCUGCUGAUGAGAAAGCACACAGAUCAUCUGGCUCUACUGGACCAGAGCGCUCUCUCGCUCUCUCUCUCUCUCUCUCCUCUCUCUCUCCCCCACAGAUCCUCUGUGGGUCCUUCAGGAAGCCAGGUUUCCUGCUGUGGCCAGAAGAUUCUGUGCAUCAGAUCAUAAGCAGCUACUAGAAGCGCCCCUCCCAGGGUGCACAUUGCCCUGAAGCUAACUCAGACCGGAAGUUGGUGCCUUUUAUCAAAAUGAUGUUGAGCCAGGCACAUUAAUGUCUUCUAACAGCCCCAGCUCCUGGGCACUGUCUAGCAUCUCCCGACCCAGACCACCUUGUCUCCCACAUCAUCAGGAAAACAGCAGUCAAAGGAGAGUCCAGGCUUGCCACGAAGAACUUCUGGUUGCUGCUUCCACCUAAGGUGGAUCCUGAACCUCCCUCGGCAGUCCAGCCAGAGGUCUAACCUUCAACCUACUUGCUGUUCUCCCCACCUCCAUCCACAGAAACUCCAUCUUUCAUCAGGAUGGGUUAUACCUUGGGACACCAGCUUCAGCCCUUGGGGGAACCUAAGGACCACAGUGUGGAAAGCACAGCCUGAUGUCAGAAAUUCUGUCAGCGCCCUACCUCACAAGCAGCCGGUGUGAUUGUGCAUCUCCACAACAUCAUCAUUUACCCAAUAACAAUAAAAUCCCAAGGCACAUCGGUUUCCUUCGCAACCGAUCACCAAGCCGUCCUGAUUUCCUUGACAGCCGGCCCAGGCGUAAGGCGUAAGCUCCAUUAUUUCUAUUUUAACUACAAAUACUAACUCUCAGGUAAUACAACCAUACAGAUUCUAGGCAAUAAAUAAGGAUCCGAGAUAGACAGAUGCUGUCUUCUUCAUGUUCUUUCCUGUUACGAUGAUAAAAUACUCUGACAAGAACGACAGGAAGGGAGCCUGGGUCUGCUGUAUCUCUCAGUUCCAGUUUCCCUCCACAGAGGCAAGGUCGUCAGUGUCUGGGAAGCCGGAAGCAGCUGACAGCAUUACGUCUACGGUCAGAGGGCAGCAAUGCAUGCAUGCACACUGGUGUGCAGCUUGCUUUUCCUCCUUUAUAAAGUCCAAGAUCUGCUGCCCAGAAGUCAUGGUUAGCAUGGAUCUUCCUACAUCAAUUAAUGUAACCAAUAAAAUCUAACCCUUGACAGACUGGGCUAGAGGCCUAUGUCCCAGGUGACUCUGGAUUCUGUCAGAGUGACAAUUAGCAUUAGCCAUCAUAGAUAGACCUACAUACAUGCCCGUGCAUGCGUGUGCACACACACACACACAAACAUACACACAGGCACACACACAUGCACAUAGUACAUAUAUGCA